GGUCUUCAUAGCUCAGUUGGUUGAGCCAUAUGUUACUAACGCAGAGGCCAUGGGUUCGAAUCCCGUUGAAGCCC
rnacentral:tRNA from 1 species